AACGAACGCUGGCGGCAUGCCUAACACAUGCCAGUCGAACGAGACCUUCGGAUCUAGUGGCGCACGGGUGCGUAACGCGUGGGAACCUGCCCUUAGGUUCGGAAUAACUCCCCGAAAGGGUGCUUAUACCGGAUAAUGUUCUUGGACCAAAGAUUUAUCGCCUUUGGAUGGGCCCGCGUUGGAUUAGCUUGUUGGUAGGGUAAAAGCCUACCAAGGCGGCGAUCCAUAGCUGGUCUGAGAGGAUGAUCAGCCACACUGGGACUGAGACACGGCCCAGACUCCUACGGGAGGCAGCAGUGGGGAAUAUUGGACAAUGGGCGAAAGCCUGAUCCAGCAAUGCCGCGUGAGUGAUGAAGGCCUUAGGGUUGUAAAGCUCUUUUACCCGGGAUGAUAAUGACAGUACCGGGAGAAUAAGCUCCGGCUAACUCCGUG
rnacentral:rRNA from 1 species